rnacentral:lncRNA from 1 species
AACCUUGGUCACGAUCUGGUGCUGAAAAAUUUAGGGUGAGUUUUGUUCUUUGUGUGUAGUUGAUGGUGGUAGCCCAGGCUAUGAUGGUGGUGGUCGUGUUGGUGGUGGGCUUGAGGUGCCAAUGGUUCCGUUGCUGGUUACAUGUGGCUAUGGUGAGGUGGUGUACAUUUGUUUGCCGAUGUUGGGAAUGGUGGUGAGUGACCAAACCUAUUUUUAUUGUGACUGUUUGUGACCAGAUUUGUGUCAACUGUGACCGUAUGUGACUUGGUUAUAUAUAGUCACAAAUUAGACUAACAUGGUUAUAAACAGUCACUACAAUUUUGGUCAUGAACACAUAAGGUCAAAGCUCAUACGUUACUGGUCACAAUUCGCCGUUAAGGUCACAGUUCACUGUUCAUAGGUUUGAGUUCACA